rnacentral:rRNA from 1 species
CAGUAGCCGCGGGAAAACGUAGGGUGCGAGCGUUAAUCGGAAUUACUGGGCGUAAAGCGUGCGCAGGCGGUUGUGUAAGACAGGUGUGAAAUCCCCGGGCUUAACCUGGGAACUGCGCUUGUGACUGCACAGCUAGAGUAUGGCAGAGGGGGGUGGAAUUCCACGUGUAGCAGUGAAAUGCGUAGAGAUAUGGAGGAACACCGAUGGCGAAGGCAGCCCCCUGGGCCAAUACUGACGCUCAUGCACGAAAGCGUGGAGAGCAAACAGGAUUAGAUACCCCAGUAGUCCCUGUCUCUUAUAA